rnacentral:rRNA from 1 species
AUGGAUGUGUCUUUUUUUGUAGUGAGAGCUCCCUCACUGAGCGAGCAUUCGGCAUUCCUAGUAUGCUCCACUCAUUCUACGCCAAGCACCCAAUCACGGGAUCAGAAUCACACUCUACAUCAUACCUUUUACAAAAGAAAAGGAUAGGCAGCCGCUGCUAAACCAAGAUGUCCAUCUCUUGACUCCGUCAAUCAAUCUUACCUUAUAGGGCACAAAGGUAUAUUUACCAUACGAGAUGUGUGCACCUACUAA